ACCUGGCUGGCUCAGUUGGUAGAACAUGAGAUUCUUAAUCUCAGGGUCAUGAGUUCAAGCCCCACACUAGGUG
rnacentral:tRNA from 1 species